rnacentral:rRNA from 1 species
UACGUAGGGGGCAAGCGUUGUCCGGAAUCAUUGGGCGUAAAGAGCGUGUAGGCGGUUCAGUAAGUCUGCUGUGAAAGUCCAAGGCUCAACCUUGGGAUGCCGGUGGAUACUGCUGAGCUAGAGUCCGGAAGAGGCAAGUGGAAUUCCUGGUGUAGCGGUGAAAUGCGCAGAUAUCAGGAGGAACACCGGUGGCGAAGGCGGGUCUCUGGGCCGAUACUGACGCUGAGGAGCGAAAGCGUGGGGAGCGAACAGG